rnacentral:rRNA from 1 species
GACGAACUGUGCGACCGUUAUUCGGAAUCACUGGGCUUACAGGGUGCGUAGGCGGCCUGUUAAGUAGGGUGUGAAAUCCCCCGGCCCAACCGGGGAAUGGCGCUCUAAACUAGCAGGCUUGAGUGAGCUAGGGGUGCACGGAACUUCCAGUGGAGCGGUGAAAUGUGUUGAUAUUGGAAGGAACACCGGAGGCGAAAGCGGUGCACUGGGGCUUAACUGACGCUGAGGCACGAAAGCCAGGGGAGCGAACGGG